AUUGAACGCUGGCGGCAGGCCUAACACAUGCAAGUCGAACGAGUGGCGGACGGGUGAGUAAUGUCUGGGAAACUGCCUGAUGGAGGGGGAUAACUACUGGAAACGGUAGCUAAUACCGCAUACCAUCGGAUGUGCCCAGAUGGGAUUAGCUAGUAGGGGGGGUAAAGGCUCCCCUAGGCGACGCUACCUAGCUGGUCUGAGAGGAUGACCAGCAACACUGGAACUGAGACACGGUCCAGACUCCUACGUGAGGCAGCAGUGGGGAAUAUUGCACAAUGGUCGAAAGCCUGUUGCAGCCAUGCCGCGUGUAUGAAGAAGGCCUUCGGGUGGUAAAGUACUUUCAGCGGGGAGGCGUUACCCGCAGAAGAAGCACCGGCUAACUCCGUGCCAGCAGCCGCGGUAAUUC
rnacentral:rRNA from 1 species